rnacentral:tRNA from 1 species
GGACCCUUAGCUCAGUUGGUUAGAGCGCUCGGCUCAUAACCGAGUGGCCCCGGGUUCGAGUCCCUGAGGGUCCA